GAGUUCAAAAAGCCACAAAAGUAUGGGGGAUGGGGAAUGGAUGUCCCGUUUGAGGAGGUUUGCCAGCUCUGGGGUUUUGCCUGCUGAUGCAGGCAACAGGCCAGCCCCAAGACAGAAGAGGUGGUAUGACCUCUUUCAAAAGAUUGAGAAGUGCCCGUUGCAGUUACGUGGCCAAAGAAUGCUGUUUGGUGGGACACAGCAGUGUACUUGUGGCUUUCAUAACCCAAAGCCAACCACUGGACAAACUGUGGCAGAGACCUCUACCUGUGCUGCCCCUCCCCCACUGGGAACAGCCUCUACCUCAGCCUCUGCCUCUGCCCC